rnacentral:rRNA from 1 species
GUGAGUAAAAGAAAAGUAACCUGCCCUUAACUCUGGGAUAAGCCUGGGAAACUGGGUCUAAUACCGGAUAGGAGCGUCCACCGCAUGGUGGGUGUUGGAAAGAUUUAUCGGUUUUGGAUGGACUCGCGGCCUAUCAGCUUGUUGGUGAGGUAAUGGCUCACCAAGGCGACGACGGGUAGCCGGCCUGAGAGGGUGACCGGCCACACUGGGACUGAGACACGGCCCACACUCCUACGGGAGGCAGCAGUGGGGAAUAUUGCACAAUGGGCGCAAGCCUGAUGCAGCGACGCCGCGUGAGGGAUGACGGCCUUCGGGUUGUAAACCUCUUUCAGUAGGGAAGAAGCGAAAGUGACGGUACCUGCAAAAAAAGCACCGGCUAACUACGUGCCAGCACCCGCGGUAAUACGUAGGGUGCGAGCGUUAUCCGGAAUUAUUGGGCGUAAAGAGCUCGUAGGCGGUUUGUCGCGUCUGUCGUGAAAGUCCGGGGCUUAACCCCGGAUCUGCGGUGGGUACGGGCAGACUAGAGUGCAGUAGGGGAGACUGGAAUUCGUGGUGUAGCGGUGGAAUGCGCAUAUAUCAGGAGGAACACCGAUGGCGAAGGCAGGUCUCUGGGUCUGUAACUGACGCUGAAGAGCGAAAGCAUGGGGAGCGAACAGGAUUAGAUACCCUGGUAGUCCAUGCCGUAAACGUUGGGCACUAGGUGUGGGAGACCAUUUCCACGGUUUUCCGCGCCGCAUCUAACGCAUUAAGUGCCCCCGCCCUGGGGGAGUACGGGCCGCAGGGCUUAACACUCAAAGAGAAUUGGACGGGGGGGCCCCGCACAAGGCGGGCGGGAGCAUGGCGUAAUUUAAUUUCGAUGCCCACGCGAAACAACUCUUAACCAAGGGUCUUUGAACAUGUCUCUU